GGUCAUACAAUGAUGAAUUAGUUUAUUAAACAGUUAUCCCUGUCUGAAUUAUAGCAAAGAUCUAUAAUCGUGUGGAUAUUUUAUUCAUUCUGAAAUCAAU
rnacentral:snoRNA from 1 species